UUGAAACACCAAUUCCCAUCUGAUUACCACAGUUAAGCAACACUGAGACAAGUCAGGACUGAGAUGGGUGUUCACUUGGGAAUACUAGAUGCUGUAA